rnacentral:lncRNA from 1 species
AGAUUGCAGUUGUGGUCAGGAGGAUGAACCGAGAGUUGGACACAUACAAAGUUUUAAAACAUGGGUUUAAAGCAAAAAUAAGCAGGAAAUUAGCACAAAGUAUCUAAGGAAUGGCACAAACAUCUCUAGCAUGGCUUUUCUUAUAGGAUUGUGUGUGUUAGAUAGUAUAGAACAAUCUGUUUUCAAAGAUUGAUGUACAAGUAUAUGUUUCUUUCUCAUUUCAUUUAGUAAUUGUAAGAAAAGUCCCAGUGUACUCUAGAUUCAAUGGGAAGUUUCCGAUUAGGAUGUCGUGUGUCAUUUCAUCGAAUAGUUGGAGCAUCCCAGAAAACCAGAUUCUAAUGGCCAUUUUAUCAAACGGUUGGAGAGCACA